AACAAUGCCUGCAUAUAUUUACUCUUGAAGCCCAACAAAGCUACUAUGACAGCAUCUGAACAGGCCAAUCUGUAAAGCAGGGGAUGGGAGUGGUUAACUACUAAUAUAAGGAAUAUGUAGAAUAAUUACCAAAAAAAUGUAUGUGAAGAUACUGAGUAGUGUCCGGUAAACAAUGAAAAUUCAAUAGUGGUACUUUCACAACAUCAAUAAUGCUGUAUCAGUAACACUGUCAAUUAACCAUUCCAUUAAUUUAUCAUCUAAAACAAAGGCCAAAGGUAGUUUAUUUCCAACAGCAGCAGAAUGAACAUUGUUGAAGUAGAAUCAUCAUACAAGGCCUGAAAGUCACAAUUCAAGCCAUUGUCUAAAUUGCAAACGCGCCGGCCAAGGAAAAAUGAGAUUUAUAUCAAAAGAAAUGAAUGUAGGCAA